GACGUAGGAGGCGAGCGUUGUCCGGAUUCAUUGGGCGUAAAGAGCGCGCAGGCGGCUUGGUAGUCGGAUGUGAAAACCCGAGGCUCAACCUCGGGCGUGCAUCCGAAACUGCUCGGCUAGAGGUAGGUAGGGGAGAUCGGAAUUCCUGGUGUAGCGGUGAAAUGCGCAGAUAUCGGGAGGAACACCGGUGGCGAAGGCGGAUCUCUGGGCCUUACCUGACGCUCAGGCGCGAAAGCUAGGGGAGCGAACUGG
rnacentral:rRNA from 1 species